AAAUGUGGAGAUUCCCCUAUGGGU
rnacentral:piRNA from 1 species